AGUACACAACUCUUUCUCUCCAUUAGCUCAAUUUCUAUUCAAAAACUCAUAUUCUCAAAUUUCCGCUUCAUUUGUCUCCAUUAGCUCAACUUUUCUUAGAAAUUCUUCCAAUUGUUACUCUCAAAUCUGUUAAAACACUUCUAAUUUCACAGAAUGUGAACUAUUUUAUCAGAUUGAAGUGUUUUAAAGUUUUAAAGCAAAAGGUUCUCAAAAAUCUACAGAAAUCAGAAGUUUCUGGAAGGUUUUAAGAAGGACGGUUUGAUCUUUUAUUAGCACUGCAAGAUUUUGAUGUUUUCGAAGCUUUGAAGAUGCUCAAAAGCUUGUAAGGUAAUUUUUCGAACAAUCUUGGCCGGAUUGUGGUCUACAUCUUUCUAGCAAACUUUGAUAUUUGUGUAUUCUUUGAUUUUCAUCAUUAGAGAGGUAAAACUUGAUGGACAGUUCAAUAUCGGGAUAUGUACUCUAUUGAGAGAUAUUUGUGAACACUUAAAUCAUAUAUUUACAAUCAUGCUCAUCCAGAAGGUGCAAUUGUUGAAGGUGAUGACGCAAAUGAGGAAUUACAUUUUUCUCAAACUAUUUUAAGAGUAUCUCAACUAAGUUCAAUAAAUCAGAAAGAAAUGAUGAUGGAUUUGAAUCAAACGGGGAUAUGUCUAUCUUUAAAAAAAGUGGGCAAACAAAGGGGUCUUCUAAUGGAAAGAAACUACCCCACGAUCAAUUCAACCAAGCAGUUAUGCAUAUUCUUCAAAACUGUGAAGAGGUUUCACCAUUCAUGGACAAAUGAAAGGAAUUGGUCGAGGACGUGGACGACGUAAAGGUAAUAGUGGAAGAGAUGGUGCAGGAGGUGGACGUGAAAAUUUCUAAGAACGUGAACAUUUUGGUACUACAUCUCAGCCAACAAUACAACAAAUAAGAGUUGCUGAAGUAUAAUUGGAGACAGGACAGACACCUAACCCAAGUCAACGACGUCUACAAGUGGAACAAAUAUCAAGUGAUCCUCUCCAAAGAACAUCUCCAGGGACAAUAAUCAAUAAAUCUAGAAGAAAGUAUUCGUCCUUCCAUAGAGGUUGAAAUUGGUAUAUGCUAGUUCAUAUACCACCCUAGUAGAUAGACUCAAUUGCUUAAUAUCAAGCAACUUCAGCACAUGAUGGGUGAAGUUGGUCCAACACAGUUGACAACAGGAUGUUGAUUUUGAUUCUCAUGUGAUAGUUUUUCUUUUUGCAAGUAUAUUGGGUGCUGUAAUACGAGUGUAUAUCAAUUUUAUCAAGAAUGUAGAGCUAGUUAUUGUUUCAUUCUUAUUCAAGUGUAUAACCAUGUUACAACAAUGAAUCUCUAGCACAAAGUAGAGUUUGUUAAAUGUUCUUAUCGAUAUAACAAUUGAGUGUGGUUUGAUGUGUUAA